rnacentral:rRNA from 1 species
CCCUUAGAUGUCCUGGGCUGCACGCGCGCUACACUGGAAGUUACGGAUUGAGAUACUACCUUGUCCGAAAUGGUCCGGGUAAUCACCUAAAAGCUUGUCAUAAUUGGAAUGGAUUAUUGUAACUAGUAAUCCUGAACGAGGAAUUCCUAGUAAGUCCCAGUCAACAGCUGGUACUGAUUACGUCCCUGCCCUUUGUACACACCGCCCGUCGCUACUACUGAUUGGACGUUUAAGCAAGAUUUUUAAACACCGACAGUGUGUAGUUCACGCUAUACUACAGUGAGAAGAAGAAGAUCGAGCUUACUUGUCUAGAGGAAGUAAAAGUCGUAACA